AUCCGACCUGUCAAUCAAACUAAUCAUUAUUGACCAAUGAGAAAGCUGCAAAUUAUUCACCGAGUCCCGUCCGCCAUCUUUACCCACAAACACAGCAGCGAUAACUGUUUACAACCGGACAUUUUAUUGAAGUUUUAAGACUGAUUUGUGAAAAUGGUUAAACGAUGCGGAUGGGGAAUAUGUUAUGCAGAUUAAGGUAUCCGGAGGGACUAAAUGGAGGCCGAUUUAAACGAUUUCCGACCUAUAAUCCGAUAUUGAGAAGUGCAAAUGCUGGAUUAAAGCCUGUGGACGGCCACAAGAGAAACUGAAUGUCAACAGGAUAAACAAGCACGAAGAUGUCUGCUCGAAGCACUUUCGUGGAGGAAAUGGACCAUCUAAAGAGUAUCCUGACCCACCAUCAGCUGAUGGCUGGAGAAUAACAUCUUCAAGAAAACUCCCCACAAAGCGGUCACUUGGAAAGGAAACUUAUGGCAGCAUUUAUACACAAAAUGCAAGUGUAUGCAUUUAAUACAAGAUAUCACAUGCCUAGAAAAGCUGGUCCAGGAUCCUGCAGACACUGUACCAGGAGUAGAAACACAGACCGAAUGUCCAUGGACGUCACCUUUGGAUGUUUGCACUUACCGCUCAAAAUGCUUCCCUAAAAGAACAGUUGUCACAAAAAGAAGUCCAAGUUGAAGAAUAACAGUCUGCACUUUCAUCAAAGUGUUGUGAAAUUCAGAUUUUAAAGCAACUGGUGGGAAUUUAAACAAACUGUAAAUGUCGAUAUAGUUCUGCUCAAAGAAGCAUUAGUUAAAAUUUGUUUAAAUAUUAUACAGGAAUCAUAUGAUUUUAUUUCUGCUUCUUUGAUAUAAUUGAAUAACUGUUAGUUUAUUCAUGUUUGGAAUAAAGCAUUGUAAAGUGAAUUGUGUGUUUGUAGUUCAUUUAUUUAAUUAGAUUUAAAAUUUGUAAACUUGGUCUGUGUAUCUAUCUGGCAAAG